rnacentral:sRNA from 1 species
UGGGUUCAAUCUGCCUGCCUUUCUAUAUUGUGUCGUGAACUGGAGCACGUGUUUCUAAAAUUCUUUGAAAGAGGUCCCAAAAUGAACGCCCGGUAUAAAACGCGUGGAAUAAAAAAAUAUUGAAAGUAUGAAGCUGUACCUUAUUAGGAUGGGAACUAAGGUAUGACGCGUAGGCUGAAGAUUGUACCAACGUGGGACUCGAAGAUGAUGGCAGACAAUCCAAGCUCAAACGCGAUAGAUUUGUUAGCGAUUGGCCAUUUGCAUUCAGGUCACACUGAAAGCAGCAGUCAAACAUUGGUUUUGACAGUCGAAAACCCUUAAAGGUUCUGUUAAAGUUAUUGUUGUUGUAGUAGCAGUGUGUGGUACACUGAGGCGGCAGCCCUUGCCGAUGAAGGAAUUCAUCGGGUCAAUCCGGUACAUACAACUGGCUGCCAUGGGAUUGCUCUGUUAAAGUAAUAGAUGACAGCGAAUAACGUAGAUGAUUGCUGAUGAAAUUGAGGCCUACUCGGACCAUGCAUAGAAUUAGCCUGAACAAUUUGUAACCUACAUAACAAAAUAAAAAAGUAAUAAACAUUUGUAUUCUGUACAAGAUAAACUUUUUUUAAAGCAAA